GACGAACGCUGGCGGCGUGCUUAACACAUGCAAGUCGAACGGAAAGGCCCUGCUUUUGUGGGAUGCUCGAGUGGCGAACGGGUGAGUAACACGUGAGUAACCUGCCCUUGACUUUGGGAUAACUUCAGGAAACUGGGGCUAAUACCGGAUAGGAGCUCCUGCUGCAUGGUGGGGGUUGGAAAGUUUCGGCGGUUGGGGAUGGACUCGCGGCUUAUCAGCUUGUUGGUGGGGUAGUGGCUUACCAAGGCUUUGACGGGUAGCCGGCCUGAGAGGGUGACCGGCAACAUUGGGACUGGGAUACGGCCAAGACUCCUACGGGAGGAAGCAGUGGGGAAUAUUGCACAAUGGGCGGAAGCCUGAUGCAGCAACGCCGCGUGCGGGAUGACGGCCUUCGGGUGGUAAACCGCUUUCGCCUGUGACGAAGCGUGAGUGACGGUAAUGGGUAAAGAAGCACCGGCUAACUACGUG
rnacentral:rRNA from 1 species